GACGAACCGUGCGAACGUUGUUCGGAUUCACUGGGCUUAAAGGGCGCGUAGGCGGACCAUCAAGUCAGGGGUGAAAUCUUUCAGCUUAACUGGAAACGUGCCUCUGAUACUGGUGGUCUCGAGGGAGGCAGGGGCAUGCGGAACUUCCGGUGGAGCGGUGAAAUGCGUAGAUAUCGGAAGGAACGCCGGUGGCGAAAGCGGCGUGCUGGACCUCUUCUGACGCUGAGGCGCGAAAGCUAGGGGAGCGAACGGG
rnacentral:rRNA from 1 species